rnacentral:tRNA from 1 species
GCCGGGGUGCCCGAGCGGACCAAGGGGCUGGCCUUGAGAGCCAGUAGGGGUAUCCCCUGCGCGGGUUCGAAUCCCGCCCCCGGCG